AACGAACGCUGGCGGCAUGCCUAACACAUGCAGGUCGAACGAGACCUUCGGGUCUAGUGGCGCACGGGUGCGUAACGCGUGGGAACCUGCCCUUAGGUUCGGAAUAACUCCCCGAAAGGGGUGCUAAUACCGGAUAAUGUCUUCGGACCAAAGAUUUAUCGCCUUUGGAUGGGCCCGCGUUGGAUUAGCUAGUUGGUAGGGUAAAAGCCUACCAAGGCGACGAUCCAUAGCUGGUCGGAGAGGAGGAUCAACCACACUGGGACUGAGACACGGCCCAGACUCCUACGGGAGGGAGCAGUGGGGUAUAUUGGACAAUGGGGGAAAGCCUGAUCCAGCAAUGCCGCGUGAGUGAUGAAGGCCGUAGGGUUGUAAAGCUCUUUUACCCGGGAUGAUAAUGACAGUACCGGGAGAAUAAGCACCGGCUAACUCCGUG
rnacentral:rRNA from 1 species